GCCAGACUCCUACGGGGGGCAGCAGUGGGGAAUAUUGCACCAUGGGGGAAACCCUGCUGCAGCGACGCCGCGUGAGUGACGACGUAAUUCGUUAUUUCCCGCUCUAUCAGCCUUGAAGAAAAUGCCGGUACCUGAUUCCUCCGCCCCGGCUCCCUCCGUGCCAUCCUCCUCGGUAAUCCUUCUUGGGCAAGCUUUCUCCGGAUUUACUGGGUGUAAAGGGAGCGUAGACGGAAAGGCAAGUCAGAAGUGAAAACCCAAGGCGCAACCAUGGGACUGCUUUUGAAACUGUCAAACUAGAGUACGGGAGAGGGAAGAGGAAUUCCGAGUGUAGCGGUGAAAUGCGUAGAGAGGAGGAGGAACACCAGUGGCGAAGGCGGCUUACUGGACCGAAACUGACGUUGAGGCUCGAAAGCGUGGGGAGCACACAGGAUUAGAUACCCCGGUAC
rnacentral:rRNA from 1 species